AUAUCAAUAAGCGGAGGAAAGAGAAACCAACAGGGAUUGCCUUCAGUAACGGCGAGUGAAGCGGCAACAGCUCAAAUUUGAAAUCUGGCCUCUUUCAGGGUCCGAGUUGUAAUUUGUAGAAGAUGCUUCGGGUAUGGCACCCGGUCUAAGUUCCUUGGAACAGGACGUCACUAGAGGGUGAGAAUCCCGUACGUGCACGGUGGCUGCACCUUCGCUCAUGUGAAGCUCUUUCGACGAGUCGAGUUGUUUGGGAAUGCAGCUCAAAAUGGGUGGUAAAUUUCAUCUAAAGCUAAAUAUUGGCCAGGAGACCGAUAGCGCACAAGUAGAGUGAUCGAAAGAUGAAAAGCACUUUGGAAAGAGAGUUAAACAGUAC
rnacentral:rRNA from 1 species